CCGCUCUCGCUCCCCCCGCCCCCGGGGUGUGUUUAUCCUGCGCAGCUGCCGGCCGGGGAGGCGGCUGAGGCGCGGCGGCCCCGCGGCAGCGGCAGCGGCGGGCGGGACGGCGAGCUGCUCGUCCAGCGCGCCCGGGUCGCUGGGCUGCCGUUCGCCUCGCUACUUUAUUUCCUCUAUAAAAAGUCAGCUGCGGAUGUCGAAUCUCCUGUCGUUACCUACAGCAGGUCCCAUGAUUUGAGUUUUUUUUAUGAGGAAGCGCUGAGACAAUACACCGCAGCCCGCUUUUAUACGGCACGUUUUUAUAUUGCACCUGCAAUACGCGGGCUCACAUAAUUUCACAGAGAGCUGUAAACUAUACCGUAAAGGAAGGUUUUAAGAGCGGAGGAUUACCCCGAGGAAGUCAUUGCAAGAGGACACACACAAGGGUUUCAGCAGAGAUAAUGUCCAACCAGAGAUGUUCCGCUGGCAAGAGCAUGCUAUGCCAAACAUUGUGGCCCGCAUGGAUAGGCUAUUUGUCAACGCCAGAGAAAUCUGCUGCAGCAACAGAGGGAAUAUCUGGUGUCAGUAUCUCCAGCUUCUUGACUGAACUACCUCAUUAGAGAAACUAAAAUGUCCCUUUGAUUGCUUAGAAGUAAAUCAUUUGUUUUGCAAAAAUCUCCAAGCAGUUAUUCACUUCUUGUAAAAUUAUAAUGCCUGAAGUCUUCCUCUAAUGCAGCCCUGAAUAGCUAGAAUGACUUGAAAUUUGCAACCAAUAAAAAGUUUUACAGCAAAGCA
rnacentral:lncRNA from 1 species